UUAGAGUUUGAUCCUGGCUCAGAACGUACGCUGGCGGCACGCCUAACACAUGCAAGUCGAACGAAGUAGCAAUACUUAGUGGCAGACGGGUGAGUAACAUGUAGGUAUCUGCCCUUUGGCCUGGAAUAACACGAGGAAACUUGUGCUAAUACUGGAUAAGUCUUUACGGAGAAAGCUUUAUGCACCAUUGGAUGAGCCUGCACUUGAUUAGUUUGUUGGUGGGGUAAUGGCCUACCAAGACUGUGAUCAAUAGCUGAUUUGAGAGGAUGAUCAGCCACAUUGGGACUGAGACACGGCCCAAACUCCUACGGGAGGCAGCAGUGGGGAAUCUUGCACAAUGGAGGAAACUCUGAUGCAGCGAUGCCGCGUGAGUGAAGAAGGCCCUUGGGUUGUAAAGCUCUUUCGUCGGGGAAGAAAAUGACUGUACCCGAAUAAGAAGGUCCGGCUAACUUCGUGCCAGCAGCCGCGGUAAUACGAAGGGACCUAGCGUAGUUCGGAAUUACUGGGCUUAAAGAGUUCGUAGGUGGUUGAAAAAGUUAGUGGUGAAAUCCCAGAGCUUAACUCUGGAACUGCCAUUAAAACUUUUCAGCUAGAGUAUGAUAGAGGAAAGCAGAAUUUCUAGUGUAGAGGUGAAAUUCGUAGAUAUUAGAAAGAAUACCAAUUGCGAAGGCAGCUUUCUGGAUCAUUACUGACACUGAGGAACGAAAGCAUGGGUAGCGAAGAGGAUUAGAUACCCUCGUAGUCCAUGCCGUAAACGAUGUGUGUUAGACGUUGGAAAUUUAUUUUCAGUGUCGCAGGGAAACCGAUAAACACACCGCCUGGGGAGUACGACCGCAAGGUUAAAACUCAAAUGAAUUGACGGGGACCCGCACAAGUAGUGGAGCAUGUGGUUUAAUUCGAAGAUACGCGCAGAACCUUACCAACACUUGACAUGUUCGUCGCGACUCUAAGAGAUUAGAGUUUUCGGUUCGGCCGGACGAAACACAGGUGCUGCAUGGCUGUCGUCAGCUCGUGUCGUGAGAUGUUGGGUUAAGUCCCGCAACGAGCGCAACCCUCACUUUUAGUUGCCAUCAUUAAGUUGGGCACUCUGAAAGAACUGCCAGUGAUAAGCUGGAGGAAGGUGGGGAUGACGUCAAGUCCUCAUGGCCCUUACGUGUUGGGCUACACACGUGCUACAAUGGUAUCUACAACAGGAAGCAAGACUGCGAAGUUAAGCAAAUCCCUAAAAGAUACCUCAGUUCGGAUUGCACUCUGCAACUCGAGUGCAUGAAGCUGGAAUUACUAGUAAUCGUGGAUCAGCGUGCCACGGUGAAUGCGUUCCCGGGUCUUGUACACACCGCCCGUCACACCAUGGGAGUUGGUUCUACCUUAAGGCAAGGUUUUAAACCCUUGACCACGGUAUAGUCAGCGACUGGGGUGAAGUCGUAACAAGGUAACCAAGGGCGAA
rnacentral:rRNA from 1 species